rnacentral:rRNA from 1 species
CGGUCUACCGCUACCCGUGCCCUCUCCCUCUCCCUGAGGUGGUGGGGGCGGGGGGAGUGCAGAGGCAGGUUUGGCGGGUGGCCCGGCUGCUUCGAGCGGAGCGUAGGUCUCAGGUCUGAAAAGAGAGGAGAGAAGGGGGGUGUGGGGAGAGGUCUAGGGGCGCCUGUCAGUUCGUCGACUUAGAGAGCAGGCCAGGUCCGACGGCCUCCGACCCCUUCCGGCCCUAGGUGGCUCCACCGCUGGCCGUACCGCGAGCUAAACCCUCGGGAGCGAGAGUCCAUGUGGCCCGACCGCCACAGCCUGGUGCUGAGGUAGCAGCGGUAGUUGUAGAAGUAGCGCGACGAGACGCCGACGUAACAGAAGCCGGUGGACGAGCUCCCCUUGGCGACCCAGUUACUCAGGUGGUGGCGCGAACAGGACCCCGAGUAGUGACCACCACAGUAAGACUAGACGUGGUUUCCCCACUUAAGCGCGUAGGAAUAGAAGUCGCUCCUAUAAAAGAAGUAGAUGAACGAGGGCGGGUAGUAAAAAUUGCGGCCCAAAGUUCAUUUCUUUUUCGUUAAGAAGGCGUUGAAACGCUGUUAAUAAAAUAAACCACGACGACCUUGUAACUAUAGGAAACAUUAUUAGUGCAAACCACGAUACCCUAACAAGUCGUUUGAACUACAACCAGGUGAGCUCGAACCCCUGAUAGAACGUUAACCCCGGUAGAAGAGUCGUUGUCUAAGACAAACGUGGAAUGUCCACGAAUUGGUCCUACUUCGUGGGGAUGAGAUAUCAGAUCAAAAACCACUUCCACAACAAUUACUACGAUGUAGUCAACACGAGAAGUUACGUUAAGUUUUGUAACUAUAAUUAGUAAAACUACAGAAGCAAGAUGAUGUUAAGUAGCCUUUUAAGGAGAUGGAUAAGAAGUGGUCGUGGCAAGAACCUCAUCGACGACCCAACGAAUCACGUAUGUAAUAAUUCUUUGAAACAAAACGUUCUGUGAGUUGACUGUCUCUUCAACGAUAGUACUAUGAGUACCGUAUGGAAAGCAUAUACGACAGUUACGACGACCUAGACUCACCGUAAGAUUGGCACAAGAAGACACCUUAUCAUUACAGUGUAAUGUGAACCGUAUUACAGUGUCUUUCGAGUUCCCACUGAUGGUUCGUAUGAAAACGUUGAAAUAGUAAGUAACGACUCUAAAAAGAAAAAGAGAUACAGCCCUACCUACGUAACCUGUAACUAUUUACCUUUAAUCGAUCAUCGUCAGGAUUCUUUGGUUAACGAAAUUCGCGACAAUAUAACCCAAACCAAUACCAACCUUCUCGUCGUAAGCAUAAGGGAAAUAGAAAAGAUAGCUUGAAUUCAUUUUUUCUCAGCGUAGGUUUCUAAAGGAAGUUGGUUGUCCAAUAGUAUACCACCCGUCCAGAGUACUCUCCUCGUCAAAGUUAACGUGAACGAAUAUUGUUCAAAUGUUGUAGACCAGUAUGACGGCACGCUCAAUUACGACAGUACUAGUGUUCGUGUUAGUAACAACAAGACAAGUCGUGUUACCAAAAGCCGAACGACUGAUUCGGAGACUAAUUAGAGGAGCAGGGUGGUUCUGGACCGUGGCGUCGACUAUAGAGUUCGGUCAGUAAGGAUCUGGGUGAAUGCCGCUCGAACAACCCCAGCCUGAAGCUACAUCCGGUCGAAUGGGGGGUUUGUUUGGAGGUCAUGGAAGAGUGGUACGGUUGAGCGAGCCAAGUAGCACAUACCGCGUUCAAGCUACUAUUCAAGUACGCGGGUUACAAACCCCCUUCUCCGAAGCAGGGUAAACACGGACCAAGUGGGUAUCUCUCCUCGCAGGUACCAGGACCGAACAACCCGUGACACUGCCUCCGUCUUUUGGUAUCAAUUCAAAUUCUGGUCUUCCACGUUGACAUAAAGAACAUUUACGAGUCUAUAGUGAGUCAAAACGAGAGCCCUAAGAAAACCACAUAACAGUGACAAACAACCACAUAUAACACGUCUAUCAAAGAUGUAUUGGUACAUUCGACACAUCUAAAAACCCUCGGUAAGUUCUACAUGUUAAUUAGACAUUUAAAGCAAGAACAAGUCUGUCUUGUUAGUCUACGACCUAUAAUCGUAAGUACAUAUUUUCCUUGAGUCCACCUUUGAUAAUCUAAAAAUGAC